ACCUACGGGGGGCAGCAGUAGGGAAUCUUCCACAAUGGGCGAAAGCCUGAUGGAGCAACGCCGCGUGGGUGAAGAAGGUCUUCGGAUCGUAAAACCCUGUUGUUAGAGAAGAAAGUGCGUGAGAGUAACUGUUCACGUUUCGACGGUAUCUAACCAGAAAGCCACGGCUAACUACGUGCCAGCAGCCGCGGUAAUACGUAGGUGGCAAGCGUUAUCCGGAUUUAUUGGGCGUAAAGGGAACGCAGGCGGUCUCUUAAGUCUGAUGUGAAAGCCUUCGGCUUAACCGGAGUAGUGCAUUGGAAACU
rnacentral:rRNA from 1 species